rnacentral:rRNA from 1 species
UAGUUCCAGGUAUUAGACGCGAAGCGGGAUGAUCUAGCCAUGGGCAGGCUGAAGCUUGGGUAACACCAAGUGGAGGGCCGAACCAAUGUAGGUUGAAAACUGCUUGGAUGACCUGUGGUUAGGGGUGAAAGGCCAAUCAAAUUCCGUUAUAGCUCGUUCUCCCCGAAAUAGCUUUAGGGCUAGCGUUGGUUGUUUCUUAUCGGAGGUAGAGAACUGGAAGGACUAGGGGUCUCACCAGAUUACUGAAUCCUAUCAAACUGCGAAUGCCGAUAAGUAGAAGACCAGCAGUCAGACUGCGGGCGACAAGGUCCGUAGUCGAGAGGGAAAGAACCCAGAUCACCAGCUAAGGUCCCCAAAUAUGUGCUAAGUGGAAAAGGAUGUGGGAGCGCUCAGACAACCAGGAUGUUGGCUUAGAAGCAGCCACCAUUUAAAGAAAGCGUAAUAGCUCACUGGUCAAGCGAGCCUGUGCCUACAAUGUAACGGGGCUCAAGCACAUUACCGAAGCUGUGAGAACAAGUGGUUGCCACUUGUUCGGUAGGGGAGCGUUCCGUAGGCCGAAGAAGGUAGUUCGACGAGGAUUACUGGAGGUAUCGGAAGAGACUCUGCCAGCAUUAGUAGCGAAAAGACGGGUGAGAACCCCGUCCGCCGAAAACCCAAGGUUUCCAGGGCAAGGCCAAUCCGCCCUGGGUGAGUCGGUUCCUAAGGCAAGGCCGAAAGGCGUAGUCGAUGGAAAUCCGGUUAAUAUUCCGGAACCAGCAAGUUGUUGUUUGUACGAAGCGGGGACGCAGAAAGGUAGCGUUACGCCCUGAUGGAAGUGGGCGGUUAAGCGUGUAGGGAAAGCGUGUAGAGAAGUUCGCAUGCUUGAGAUCCUGAGACGUGAUGACGAGGAGUCUCAAUGAAGAGAGUCUGAAGUACGUGAUCCUAGGCUGCCGAGAAAAGCCGCUAAGGAGACAACUGGCUGACCGUACCGUAAACGGACACACGUGGGUGAGGAGAGAAUCCUAAGGCGUUUGAGCGAACUCAGGCUAAGGAACUCGGCAAAAUAGCUCCGUAACUUCGGGAGAAGGAGUGCCCUUGUGUACGUGAUCACUCGAGCAGUGUGAGCGGAAGAGGGUUGCAGUGAAAGGUUCCAGGCGACUGUUUACCAAAAACACAGGACUCUGCGAAGUCGAACACGACGUAUAGGGUCUGACGCCUGCCCGGUGCCGGAAGGUCACGAGGAGGGGUUAUCCGUAAGGAGAAGCUCUGAAUUUAAGCCCCGGUAAACGGCGGCCGUAACUAUAACGGUCCUAAGGUAGCGAAAUUCCUUGUCGGGUAAGUUCCGACCUGCACGAAUGGCGUAACGAUCUGGAAACUGUCUCGGCCUGAGACUCAGCGAAGUUGUAGUGUCGGUGAAGAUGCCGACUACCCGCAGCAAGACGGAAAGACCCCGUGAACCUUUACUAUAGCUAGAUAUUGAUCUUGUGUGUCAGAUGUGCAGGAUAGGUGGGAGGCAGAGACCGGUGUUCGUCAGGAUGCCGUGAGCCACUGGUGAGAUACCACUCUUGUGUCAUGUGAGAUCUAACCGCGUUCCGUGAUCCGGAACCGGGACCGUGUCUGGUGGGUAGUUUGACUGGGGCGGUCGCCUCCCAAAG